UACGGGGGGGGCAAGCGUUGUUCGGAAUUACUGGGCGUAAAGGGCUCGUAGGUGGUCAACUAAGUCGGACGUGAAAUCCCUCGGCUUAACCGGGGAACUGCGUCCGAUACUGGAUGACUUGAGUUCGGGAGAGGGAUGCGGAAUUCCAGGUGUAGCGGUGAAAUGCGUAGAUAUCUGGAGGAACACCGGUGGCGAAGGCGGCAUCCUGGACCGGUAUUGACACUGAGGCGCGAAAGCCAGGGGAGCAAACGGG
rnacentral:rRNA from 1 species